UACGAAGGGGGCUAGCGUUGUUCGGAAUUACUGGGCGUAAAGCGUGCGCAGGCGGUUACGUAAGACAGGUGUGAAAUCCCCGGGCUUAACCUGGGAACUGCAUUUGUGACUGCAUAGCUAGAGUACGGUAGAGGGGGAUGGAAUUCCGCGUGUAGCAGUGAAAUGCGUAGAUAUGCGGAGGAACACCGAUGGCGAAGGCAAUCCCCUGGACCUGUACUGACGCUCAUGCACGAAAGCGUGGGGAGCAAACAGG
rnacentral:rRNA from 1 species